rnacentral:lncRNA from 1 species
UGGAGUCAUCCAUGUAAUAUUCUUCUCCUGUUGAACGCUCAGUCCAGCCAUGCCCAUACCAUUGUGCCAAGGCUUAUUACCUUAUGUUGCUCUUGCUAUCUGUCUGAAGGAGGGAGAGGCCAUUGUAAACCCUUGAUGAUGCUGUCUGUGUGAAGGACAGUCUGGCGACUGUGACUUCAUGGUGCUGCUACUGCCUGCUUUAAGGAGAGAGGCAGUAUGUUGCGACAUUGGGCUGUUGUUGCUCAUUUAAAGGAUGGGAUUGAUCAAAUGGAAGUGCCGCAUGCUGCAAUAUUGAAUGGGCUGUCUGAUUCUGCUCUUUGAAGGCUGUGCUUGAUAAUGCAGGAGGAAUGAGGACAUUUCAUGGGAUGUGGUGCAUAAACCUCUGCUAUUUCCCAUGAUAAGAUUUUAAAACUACAGUGGACCCUCGACUUAUGGAAUUAAUCCAUAUUGGAACGGUGGCUGCAGG